GACGAACGCUGGCGGCGUGCCUAAUACAUGCAAGUCGAACGAGAGCGACCGGUGCUUGCACUGGUCAAUCUAGUGGCGAACGGGUGAGUAACACGUGGGUAACCUGCCCAUCAGAGGGGGAUAACAUUCGGAAACGGAUGCUAAAACCGCAUAGGUCUUCGAACCGCAUGGUUUGAAGAGGAAAAGAGGCGCAAGCUUCUGCUGAUGGGUGGACCCGCGGUGCAUUAGCUAGUUGGUGAGGUAACGGCUCACCAAGGCCGUGAUGCAUAGCCGACCUGAGAGGGUGAUCGGCCACAUUGGGACUGAGACACGGCCCAAACUCCUACGGGAGGCAGCAGUAGGGAAUCUUCCGCAAUGGACGCAAGUCUGACGGAGCAACGCCGCGUGAGUGAAGAAGGUUUUCGGAUCGUAAAACUCUGUUGUUAGAGAAGAACAAGUGCUAGAGUAACUGUUAGCGCCUUGACGGUAUCUAACCAGAAAGCCACGGCUAACUACGUG
rnacentral:rRNA from 1 species